CACACGACCGUACCGCAAACCGACACUGGUGCGCGAGAUGAGUAUUCUAAGGCGCUUGAGAGAACUCAGGAGAAGGAACUCGGCAAAUUGACACCGUAACUUCGGAAGAAGGUGUGCCUUUAGUAGGUGAAGUCCCUCGCGGAUGGAGCCCAAUGAGGUUGCAAAGAAUCGGUGGCUGCGACUGUUUAUUAAAAACACAGCACUCUGCAAACACGAAAGUGGACGUAUAGGGUGUGACGCCUGCCCGGUGCUGGAAGAUUAAAUGAUGGGGUGCAAGCUCUUGAUUGAAGUCCCAGUAAACGGCGGCCGUAACGAUAACGGUCCUAAGGUAGCGAAAUUCCUUGUCGGGUAAGUUCCGACCUGCACGAAUGGCGUAACGAUGGCCACACUGUCUCCUCCUGAGACUCAGCGAAGUUGAAAUGUUUGUGAUGAUGCAAUCUCCCCGCGGAAAGACGGAAAGACCCCAUGAACCUUUACUGUAGCUUUGUAUUGGACUUUGAACAGAUCUGUGUAGGAUAGGUGGGAGGCUUUGAAGCAGGGUCGCUAGAUCUUGUGGAGCCAACGUUGAAAUACCACCCUGGUGUGUUUGAGGUUCUAACCUAGGCCCGUAAUCCGGGUUGGGGACAGUGCAUGGUAGGCAGUUUGACUGGGGCGGUCUCCUCCCAAAGUGUAACGGAGGAGUUCGAAGGUACGCUAGUUACGGUCGGACAUCGUGACGAUAGUGCAAUGGCAUAAGCGUGCUUAACUGCGAGACUGACAAGUCGAGCAGAUGCGAAAGCAGGACAUAGUGAUCCGGUGGUUCUGUAUGGAAGGGCCAUCGCUCAACGCAUAAAAGGUACUCUGGGGAUAACAGGCUGAUACCGCCCAAGAGUUCAUAUCGACGGCGGUGUUUGGCACCUCGAUGUCGGCUCAUCUCAUCCUGGGGCUGUAGCCGGUCCCAAGGGUAUGGCUGUUCGCCAUUUAAAGAGGUACGUGAGCUGGGUUUAAAACGUCGUGAGACAGUUUGGUCCCUAUCUUCCGUGGGCGCUGCAGAUUUGAGGAAGCCUGCUCCUAGUACGAGAGGACCGGAGUGGACGCACCUCUGGUGUAUCGGUUGUCACGCCAGUGGCAUUGCCGAGUAGCUAUGUGCGGAAGAGAUAACCGCUGAAAGCAUCUAAGCGGGAAACUCGUUUCAUGAUGAGAUCUGCCGGGGCCUUGAGCCCCCUGAAGAGUCGUUCAAGACCAGGACGUUGAUAGGUCGGGUGUGGAAGCGCAGUAAUGCGUUAAGCUAACCGAUACUAAUUGCUCGUGCGGCUUGACCCC
rnacentral:rRNA from 1 species